rnacentral:tmRNA from 1 species
GGGGUUGACUGGAUUUGACAGCGGGCAGGAAUGGUACGUAAGCAUGCGGAGUAAAGACUGUGUACUCCAUAAUCCCAUCGGUCAACAAUUUAAUUGGCGAAAACAACUACGCUCUCGCUGCUUAAUCGAAGUAUAGUAGAUUAGCUUUAUUCCCUUGCAAGGCGAGGGAACGAGACAUCGCUCAGAGCCCACUCCUUGAGGCUGACUGGUCAAUGCGGUGCAAUAAUAUCGGGGAUAGUCGUUGGCUUGCCUCGCACUAUCGAUGAAAAUCUUGAGGCUAAGGCGGUACUUGGUGGUCCAGGUCUUGGUAUCGCACUAAAACUGAAGGCUGGAAUAAGCAUGUAGAAAGCGUGCGGUUUCACCGUUUGGACGAGGGUUCGAAUCCCUCCAGCUCCACA